rnacentral:misc_RNA from 1 species
UACGGAGGGUGCAAGCGUUAAUCGGAAUUACUGGGCGUAAAGCGCGCGUAGGCGGUUGAACAAGUUGGGUGUGAAAUCCCUGGGCUUAACCUAGGAACUGCAUUCAAAACUAUUCAACUCGAGUGCAACAGAGGUCAAUGGAAUUUCCGGUGUAGCAGUGAAAUGCGUAGAGAUCGGAAGGAACACCAGUGGCGAAGGCGAUUGGCUGGGUUGACACUGACGCUGAGGCGCGAAGGCGUGGGGAGCAAACAGG